rnacentral:lncRNA from 10 species
UCUCCCUCCUCCUCCACUCUGCUCAGGUCCCUCUCACUCUUUUUUUUUUUUAACCGCUACGCCACAGUCCCCGGGAGAAUUCAGAUCCCAACCGGGGCUUCCGGAUUCUGUAGUGGCUUUGGCCUGUGUCUGGUCUGAGGACGCCCGGAAGGCAUUGCACUGAGGCUAAGGGAAAGGUCUCUGGAGGGAGCCUCAGGAAGAGCAAAUGGAGGCCAGAGACUGGCAGGAGCGCGCCAGCGCAGGAUUUAAUCCCGACGAGCGGAUUCAGAGCCGUGCUUAUAUAAAGCUUCAGGAAGCGCCGUUCCGACGAUGAGGUCGACACGCGAGAGGCGACCUCAAGAGCGGCGGCGCCAGGGAUCUGUGCGCCAAGGGAGGACGGGAGGGAGCAGGUUCGCCAUAAUUCCUGGCUCCAGGCUCUGUUUUGUUGGACCGAGCCACUGUAUUUUAGCUCACACAGGAGAAUUCUGGCCCUGGGAAAAUUGGUCUCAGCAUGCUGCCAAGCUUUCUCAUGGACGUCAGCGAAUCCCAACACACUGUCGGUCAAAGCCGUGCUGGAAGAAACAAAACAGUUCUCCCUCGGUAGAACUGAGAGGGGAUUGGUCCAGGGCCCCCGCCGAUACCAAAAUCCAGGUUGCUCAAGUCUCUCAUAGAAAGUGGCGUAGUAUUUGCACAUAACUAUGCACAUCCUCCCGUGUACUUUAAAUAGUCUCUAAAUUACUUCGUAACACCUAAUCCAGUGUAAAUGCUAUGUAAGUAAUUGUUAUACUGUUUUUAUUUUUACUAUCUUUUGUUGUACUUUUUUUUAAAAAAGAAAUUCAUUUGUUUAAUAUUUUCGGUCUUGGGGAACCCGCGUAUAUGGAGGGCCUGCUACAUAGAGAAGACUGAGGGAUAUUCUGUGCAUCCGUUUCUACGGAUCCUCUAAAUCGGCCUUUGUUUUCAGCCAGGAUUUAGUGCCCAGCUGUGUCCUUUGGAGGCCCCACAUGGAGCUAGCAAAGUUUGCUAAAUCGGGUUUUGCAAGAGGACUGUCUGCUCCAUACUGGGAGUAGUUACCGCAAACUGCCCUAUGAAAUUGGUUGGGGUUCUUACUGUUAGCAUGUUUAUUACUUUAUCAGGGCUCUCUGUAGGAGAGUCUAUGAGAAAAUCUUCUGGUUUCUGCUGAAAGAAUCGUGUUUUGUUGGGGUUUUUUUCCCGAAAAAUAUUAUUUUUAAAAACUCUUCUGUGCCCUGUUUAAUCUCUCCCUUGGAUCCACCUUCUGUGUGCUCAUAAAUCGUAAAUCUGUAUUCAGACUUCUGGACUCGAGACACGUAGAUCCACCUGGUGGUUCUUCAGUCAUUUUAAGCCCAAAACUCAAAAUCUCCCGAAAUCAAAAUGUUUAAACUUAUAAUCUCCAGGGUGUGACUCACGGGGGAUGAGGGGAGCAAUUCUCUCCCUCCCCGCAUAAAGCUGGUUCUCCUGUCUGCUCAUUGAACGGUUCCACUGCGCAUCACAGCAUCUACAUGCCUAAACCAACACCCCAGCAUUGGCAACAGAUAUC